ACCUCCCUGGCCCAGUGGCUAAGACUCUGCUCUCCCAAUGCAGAGGGCCCAGGUUUGAUCCCUGGUGGAGGAA
rnacentral:tRNA from 1 species